CAGCCGCCGCGGUAAUACGAAGGGUGCAAGCGUUACUCGGAAUUACUGGGCGUAAAGCGUGCGUAGGUGGUGGUUUAAGUCCGUUGUGAAAGCCCUGGGCUCAACCUGGGAAUUGCAGUGGAUACUGGGUCACUAGAGUGUGGUAGAGGAUAGUGGAAUUUCCGGUGUAGCAGUGAAAUGCGUAGAGAUCUGGAGGAACACCGGUGGCGAAGGCGGCCCCCUGGACAAAGACUGACGCUCAGGUGCGAAAGCGUGGGGAGCAAACAGGAUUAGAUACCCGCGUAGUCCCUGUCUCUUAUAC
rnacentral:rRNA from 1 species